GGAUUUUCCGCAAUGGACGAAAGUCUGACGGAGCAACGCCGCGUGAGUGAUGAAGGCUUUCGGGUCGUAAAACUCUGUUGUUAGGGAAGAACAAGUGCUAGUUGAAUAAGCUGGCACCUUGAACGGUACCUAACCAGAAAGCCACGGCUAACUACGUGCCAGCAGCCGCGGUAAUACGUAGGUGGCAAGCGUUAUCCGGAAUUAUUGGGCGUAAAGCGCGCGCAGGUGGUUUCUUAAGUCUGAUGUGAAAGCCCACGGCUCAACCGUGGAGGGUCAUUGGAAACUGGGAGACUUGAGUGCAGAAGAGGAAAGUGGAAUUCCAUGUGUAGCGGUGAAAUGCGUAGAGAUAUGGAGGAACACCAGUGGCGAAGGCGACUUUCUGGUCUGUAACUGACACUGAGGCGCGAAAGCGUGGGGAGCAAACAGGAUUAGAUACCCUGGUAGUCCACGCCGUAAACGAUGAAGUGCUAAGUGGUUAGAGGGUUUCCGCCCUUUUAGUGCUGAAGUUAACGCCAUUUAAGCACUCCGCCUGGGG
rnacentral:rRNA from 1 species